GACGAACGCUGGCGGCGUGCUUAACACAUGCAAGUCGAACGGAAAGGCCCUGCUUUUGUGGGGUGCUCGAGGGGCGAACGGGUGAGUAACACGUGAGUAACCUGCCCUUGACUUUGGGAUAACUUCAGGAAACUGGGGCUAAUACCGGAUAGGAGCUCCUGCUGCAGGGGGGGGGUUGGAAAGUUUCGGCGGUGGGGGAUGGACUCGCGGCUUAUCAGCUUGUUGGUGGGGUAGUGGCUUACCAAGGCUUUGACGGGUAGCCGGCCUGAGAGGGUGACCGGCCACAUUGGGACUGAGAUACGGCCCAGACUCCUACGGGAGGCAGCAGUGGGGAAUAUUGCACAAUGGGCGGAAGCCUGAUGCAGCAACGCCGCGUGCGGGAUGACGGCCUUCGGGUUGUAAACCGCUUUCGCCUGUGACGAAGCGUGAGUGACGGUAAUGGGUAAAGAAGCACCGGCUAACUACGUG
rnacentral:rRNA from 1 species